CAGCAGCCGCGGGAAUACGAGGGGGGCAAGCGUUGUUUGGGAUUACUGGGCGUAAAGGGCGCGUAGGCGGCGAUCAAAGUCAGGCGUGAAAUUCCUGGGCUCAACCUGGGGGCUGCGCUUGAUACUUGGUUGCUUGAGUGGGGAAGAGGGUCGUGGAAUUCCCAGUGUAGAGGUGAAAUUCGUAGAUAUUGGGAAGAACACCGGUGGCGAAGGCGGCGACCUGGUCCUUGACUGACGCUGAGGCGCGAAAGCGUGGGGAGCAAACAGGAUUAGAUACCCCGGUAGUCCCUGUCUCUUAUAC
rnacentral:rRNA from 1 species